rnacentral:rRNA from 1 species
UAGGGAAUAUUGGUCAAUGGAUGGAAGUCUGAACCAGCCAUGCCGCGUGCAGGAAGAAGGCCUUCUGGGUUGUAAACUGCUUUUGCCAGGGGAUAAAAGACCCAUGCGUGGGAAAUUGAAGGUACCUGGUGAAUAAGCCACGGCUAACUACGUGCCAGCAGCCGCGGUAAUACGUAGGUGGCAAGCGUUGUCCGGAUUUAUUGGGUUUAAAGGGUGCGUAGGCGGCCUAUUAAGUCAGUGGUGAAAUAUCUCAGCUUAACUGAGAAGGUGCCAAUGAUACUGAUGGGCUUGAGUACAGAUGAGGUAGGCGGAAUUGACGGUGUAGCGGUGAAAUGCUUAGAUAUCGUCAAGAACACCUAUAGCGAAGGCAGCUUACUAGGCUGUAACUGACGCUGAGGCACGAAAGUGUGGGGAUCAAACAG